AGCCACGAGGCUGAGGAGCAGGCGGUGGAGGAGGCCACAUUGUAGCGGGACAGCAACUGCGAGUGGAAGCCACCCGCGCGGCCGGCCCCGGAGACGCGAGCAGACAGGCGGGAGUCGUCCCCGAACACCUUGAGGUAGAUCCAGAGAAGGUGGCAGUGAAUGUGAAGACUCUAAGAAGAAUCAUCCCAUUGAGACAAGCAAAGAAGAAAACAUACAAAUAGAAGAUGAAGAGACAAUCAAAUUAAGUGACUAUGCUCAGCAGGAUUAUUUGUGCCCAUGAGGGAAAAGCGAAGGACUGUCAGUAUUCAUUUGCUAUCAGAACUGCCUUUGAACUUCAGGGAAGCGGCCAUCUUGUUUUUGUUCACCCCUCUAAAGGAUAGUGUCUGCAACAUGAAACACGACCCACCAUGGAAUAUAUCAUAUUUACCCUCAGUCUUGGAGAAGGCCCAAAGGAAAGCCAGAUGAACACCAUCCUAAAUGUGAAGGCCUGCGAAGGCAAUGGGAUAAAAUUGCAGCAGAAAUAUCAGCAUCCGACAAGAUAGUGCCCUGGUUAUCGCUGGCUUGGAUUCCUCAGAGAGAAAAACAAAUCCAUGUAUGGAGAGGGGUGAAGCUGAUUUACCUGAUCAAUGAUGAACCUGGGAGGAGGAACUGAGCCCACCUGGCUCAACUGCUUCCUGGUUCUCUGGCAAAGGACUUACGCUCUCCUGACCUGGCAGUUCACUUAGCAGAGAAGGCCUUGUCCUCACCAGAAACUCCCUGGUUUCCAGUGCUGUCUGUCACAGAGUGGUGAGUUGAAUUCAGAGAAGAACCACUUGGCUACCAGACCUAAGGCAACCUUCUCCCAUCUAACCGGAAUAAAGGUCCUUGAGGAAUUGCCACACUGUCUUCCACAAUUGUUGGACAAAUUUGCACUCCCACCAACAGAAUAUAUGAUGCAGCUGGGCCCGGUGGCUCACACCUGUAAUCCCAGCACUUGGAAGACUGAGCAAACAGAGGUUUUGAAAUGAACAUGACACAUUUUUCAGAAAUGGGGAGAUGAUGAGGACAGAUAUUUGCCUAAGUCCUGCCCCUUUGAACAUGAUCUGCCUCACAUUCUGAGUUGCUGCUACAUUUGCUCCGAGAAGCCAUGGGCUGGAGCUUUCUGGAGCACAAGUCAGAUGACAAGAUUAUUAAUGGGAGCAGGGCAAUGUCAUAUCUGAUUUCAUGCAUAUUCAUGAAGGGAGCCACACAGCUGGGACCAUGCGCUGUGGAGAGGGAAAAUAAAGAGUGCUCUGCUCUCCACCCCUGGCAUGAAGAAUGUCAUUGUGAAGAGGAGGAGCCUGAUUGGAAAAGUUUAAGUAAUUGUAGCCUUUGUUUUGAAAAAUGGGUAUAGAAUUUGCAGAAACAACAAAACUCCGGCCAAACGAUGUCAGUCAAUAUUGAGUUCUAUAGCACCUUACAUCUAAGGCUCACCUACCUAGAAGCUCUCUGGACUGAAGUCUGCAGAGAUAGAACUUUUGCACAUGGUGUCAACAAAAUAAAUAAAUGCUUACAGGAACAAAAGAGAGGAAAAGAAAGAAAAAGAAAGAAAGAAUGAAUGAAUGAAUCAGUUUCUAAUGACAGUUAAAACAUGGACUCUUCUUCCAAUGCAAGAUCAAGCAUGAUUAGUUAUGUAUUAAACAAUGUAAAAUCCUAAGAGGGAUAAAACUUAGUUGGUUACUGAGACCAGGUUCCAAUAUCUUUUCAGUCCCAACAAAGUAAUUGCCAGGAAAUUCCUUGCAAUCUUAAUUCUGUAGCCUAGACAAGCAACAAAGCAGCUGUCUGUACCUUAGGACUUUGGAAAUUCUACGUAGUAUUACAGAACCUACCAAUCAAAGCAAAGAGACAGAUCAGGGAAAAGAGUCAAUCACAAACAUGUUUUGUGCAACUAACUAGAAAGAAAAUAAGGUUCUCAAGAGGCACCACUAAGAGAAGAACUGUUGCGAAGAAUCUUCUUGGUCAUCCAUCUGUGCCCAAGCAACCACAGGGAAGAGGGACCAGUGAGAAGACGCCAAACAGCUGUCUGCAAACAAGAAAAGAAAAGAAGCCACCAGAAUUUGGAAGACUCUGAGCCCCAAACUUACAUGAAGCAACUGCAUUUAAGUACAGCAAGGGGAGGACUAAGAUGGAUGCUAUGAGAUGCCCACCACAUCCCCCAGCACUGAGGCUCCCAUACUUCCCUUGCCAGUUUAAGUACUGGGACUCACAGCUGGAGUUGAGAGCCUUUCUCCCCCUGACAUCUCCAGGUGGUGGUGAGACAUCAUCAAAUCCUAAGAAACAGUGCACUUGAAGGUUUUUCACUCACUGCAUCAAAGAGGAGAAAAAUAUUUCUCUCCACUGCCUAAAGAACAAGAUGAAUUUUAAUACUUUGAGUUUGAAGAAUGAUGUUUCAAGUUUCGUCACUUCUGCACCGCAUCUGACCCUUAGGAAUCCAGCUCAAGGCAUGUAUGGAUAAAGGCAAGCACUCUAAGCCCACUACUUUUGAGCCUGCCCACCCUCUGACAAGGAGUUCCAGGUCUGCCCUGGGGAGAGGCUGGCCACGUCACUUCUGUUGAGUUUCCUCGAAGAUAUAAUACGAGUUCUAGACAAAAGACCGGCUGGAAAGCUCAAGCAGACUGGGACCACAUAGCAAAACAAAGUGCAGAACACAUCUUCUUUUCUUUGUAAGAAGCAUUUUGCCUACUUUCAAAAUUCCAGUUACCACCAGGCCUGGUGGCUCACACCUGCAAUCCCAGCACUUUGGGAAGCUGAAGCCGGUGGAUCACUUGCAAUCAGGACUUUGAGACAGCCUGGCCAACAUGGAUUGCAGCAUUUUCUUCAAUGGUAGCCGCUUUUCUCAUGGGAGAGGGAUUGUGAUUCAGCUCUUGACUCUUCUAAGUGCUUCAUUCUGCUACAGCUCUGAAAUCUUUGCAAAGAUCUAACACCAUCAAAUGGAAGAGCAUACAAUCUAAAGUGAAAAUUACGAGCUCCCUCAAGCUGGUGGAUCACACACACUGUUCAAUAGAGGACACAUAGACAAAUAAGAUACACAUGGCAUCAAGAACAUCACAGUCAGAAGCAGACUUUAUGGAUGUAUCAAAAGAGGCUGCCUGUGGCACUGUUUUGAGAGGCAUCCGGAGUACCGUGGUAUCCACAGAAUGCUCAGCAGGAGAGUGCUGUGAUCGAUUGGCCAUGUGGCUGGGAUGCUAUGAUGGAAAUGAAGACCCAAGUAUCAGGUGUUUGACAACAGGAUCAAGGUGAAGUGACAGUCAUGUAAACAAUGGUAUACCAUAAAAUGCUAAUACAGAGACACACAGGAGGUGCUGUGGGAACACAAUAGUGGUAGGGUGGGUCAGGGAAGACUCUAAAAGGGAGAUGAUACUAGAUUUGAGUCUCUAAUGGAGUCAGGUAUGUAUCAGGUUGAUGAUGGUAUGAAAGCCUCGCCCAAGGAACACAAUAAUACACACAGAAAGAAAGGUGGAAAGGAGCAUGGGAUGUUCAAAUACUCACAGCAGUUCAGCAUUUCUAGAGGACAAACCAAGGAUCUCAUGUCCAGUCUGUUCCUACUUCCUAUUGAUUUUAAUUCCUCAAACUUUUAUUUCUCAAACUUUUUUCCUUCUCUCCAUCCAGGCCCUGGACUCAGCCUUCACCUUUAACCUAGGCUAUCACAGUGGCCUCCUAACUAGUUUUUACACAUCCACGUCUCUAUUUGUUUACUUAUUUGUUUAUUCAUUCAAUGAUUUCACUGAGGAAUAUUUUACAUAUAAAGAUUUUUUAUUUUGAGUAUACAAUUUACUGAUUUUUUCAGUAAAUUUAAAGUGUGUGGAGCCAUCAUUAUAAUGCAAUUCUAGAACAUUUCCAUCAGUCCAAAAAUACUUUUUGUGUCCUUUAGCAUUAACUUCCCAUUCCCUCCUCCAACCUCCAUCCCCUGGCAAACACUAAUAGACUCUCAGUCUCCAUAGAUUUGCCUUUCUGGAUGCUUCAUAUCCAGGAACUCAUAUAAGAAGUAGUAUUUUUGUGUCUGGCUUCCUUAGCAUGGUGUUUUUGAAAUUCAUCCUUGUCAUGGUACGUAUAAGUACUUUAUUCUUUUUCCUUACAGAAUAGUAUGCCAUUGUAUGGAUAUAUGACAUUUUAUCUAUUCACCUGUUGAUGGACAUUUGGGUUGUUUCUACUUUAGGUUAUUAUGAAUAAUGUUACAAUAGGCAUUGAAACCGUAUGGUUUUCGUGUAGUCAUAUGUCUUUAUUUCUUUUGCUUAGAUACCUAGGAGUGAAAUUUCUGGUCAUAAGGUAAAUUUAAGGCACUGCCAACUCUUCAAGGGUGGCUUUACAAGGUUUUAUUUCCAUCAACAAUGUGCACAGUAUUCCCCUUUCCAGUUUUUACUCCACACUGUUAGCAGAGGACUUUUUUUUCAAAAUUUAAAUAUAUCACUUUAUUUUUAUAGCUCUAAAAGAUUUCAUUGGAUUCUUGUUCUCCGAGUAAAGUACCACAUAUUUAACAGAGCCUGUGAGGUCCAGGUAAAGAUCUGGUCCUUAUUUACCUCUUUAUGCACCUCUUUAUUUCUUCAUAUUACAUUUUACUCUCUAUUCUAACCAUACCAGACUCCAGACUCCGUUCAGUUCUUUUUUUUUUUUUUGAGAUGGAGUUUUGCUCUUGUCACCCAGGCUAGAGGAAUCCAGUGGCAAGAUCUCGGCUUGCCACAACCUCCACCUCCAGGGCUCAAGUGAUUACCCUGCUUCAGAAUUCCAAAUAGCUGGGAUUACAAGCACCUGCCACCACUCCCAGCUAAUUUUUUGUAUUUUUAGUAGAGAUGGGUUUUUGCCAGGUAGGGCAGGCUGGCCUUGAACUCCUGACCUCAGGUGAUCCACCCAUCUCAGCCUCCCAAAGUGCCACAAUUAAGGCAUGAGCCACUGUGCUAGGUCUUCAGUUCUUUAAACACAAUGCAUUUCUUUAACAGAGGCUUUCCAAAUACUGUGUCCAAACUUAAAUGCUCACUUUGCCACCCAUUUGCAUUUUUUCUCCUUCUUAAAAAUACCUAUCCCUGGCCGGGCACGGUGGCUCACGCCUAUAAUCCCAGCACUUUGGGAGGCCGAGGCGGGUGGAUCACGAGGUAAAGAGAUCAAGACCAUCCUGAUCAACAUGGUGAAACCCCGUCUCUACUAAAAAAAAAAAUACAAAAAUUAGCUGGGCAUGGUGGUGCGCACCUGUAGUCCCAGCUACUCGGGAGGCUGAGGCAGGAGAAUUGCUUGAACCCAGAAGGCGGAGGUUGCGGUGAGCCAAGAUCGUGCCAUUGCACUCCAGUCUGGGUAACAACAGCAAAACUCUAUCUAAAAAAAAAAAAAAAAAAAAAAAAAAAAAAACCUAUCCCUCCUUUGG